UACGUAGGGGGCGAGCGUUGUCCGGAUUUAUUGGGCGUAAAGAGCUCGUAGGCGGUUCGAUAAGUCGGACGUGAAAUCUCCACGCUCAACGUGGAGGGGCCGUUCGAUACUGUCGUGACUCGAGUCCGGUAGGGGAGUGUGGAAUUCCCGGUGUAGCGGUGAAAUGCGCAGAUAUCAGGAGGAACACCGGUGGCGAAGGCGGGUCUCUGGGCAGUAACUGACGCUGAGGAGCGAAAGCGUGGGGAGCAAACAGG
rnacentral:rRNA from 1 species